CCCUCUCCUCUCUCCACCGCUAAACCUGCUCUCUCUACCUCUCUAUUUUCCAUUGCCCUAAGAAGCUGCCAGCAAUUGCAUUUAUCACAGUCGCCGCUGACAAUUGUACAUCCCCAGACACCGGCGGAGCAGCUCCAUAAAUCGAUCAUUUCAUCACAAAAGCUCAAAUAAAAAAAUAAAAAAAACAGUCAAAGCUGAACGCCGGAAGAAGUGCAGCUUGGUUGUUGGUAUGAGUAUGACCUGUACUGUCAAACAGGGUUCUCUGGACUGGAGUGAAGCAGUUAUUGGAGAUUGAUAUUGGUCUAAUUAUUCUCAAUUUUUAAGACCAUUUCAAACAAUAUGGCUGUCCACUCUAGGCUUCGGCUGAUUUCCUACUCACAAGAGCUUGUAGAUGGACAGCCAGUCUAUGUUUCUUCAAAUUCCCUUCCAAUUAAGGCUNAAGGCUUUAAAAUUUGAACCUGCUGGGCAUGCAUUCCACACGGCUGCUCUCAAACUACUUGGCUGUGAGGAGGAAGAUGCAGACAGUGAAGAUCAGAAAGCGUCCAAUGAAAAAGAACAGGCAUAUAUGCCAUCAUAUGAUUCUUAUAGCAGCAAAGGUAAAAAGAAAUCUGGCAUUGGAGACAAGCAACAAGAUCAUUAUGCCUUGUUAGGUUUGGGCCAUUUGAG
rnacentral:misc_RNA from 1 species